GACGAACGCUGGCGGCGUGCUUAACACAUGCAAGUCGAACGGUAAGGCCCUUCGGGGUACACGAGUGGCGAACGGGUGAGUAACACGUGGGUGAUCUGCCCUGCACUUCGGGAUAAGCCUGGGAAACUGGGUCUAAUACCGGAUAGGACCACUGCCUGCAUGGGUGGUGGUGGAAAGCUUUUGCGGUGUGGGAUGGGCCCGCGGCCUAUCAGCUUGUUGGUGGGGUGAUGGCCUACCAAGGCGACGACGGGUAGCCGGCCUGAGAGGGUGACCCGCCACACUGGGACUGAGAUACGGACCAGACUCCUACGGGAGGCAGCAGUGGGGAAUAUUGCUCAAUGGGCGCAAGCCUGAUGCAGCGACGCCGCGUGAGGGAUGACGGCCUUCGGGUUGUAAACCUCUUUCAGCACCGACGAAGCGCAAGUGACGGUAGGUGCAGAAGAAGGACCGGCCAACUACGUGCCAGCCGCCGCGGUAA
rnacentral:rRNA from 1 species